rnacentral:tRNA from 1 species
UCCCUGAUAGCUUAGUUGGUAAAGAAUCUACCUGCAAUGCAGGAGACCCCGGUUCGAUUCCUGGGUUGGGAA